ensembl:lncRNA
GUUCCUUCCAGAAGCGGCUGGUCAAGAAGGGGGUGUCACCUGAGGAGGAGGCACUGGCCGCCUUCUGAGGCCUCCCACUCAAGAGGGCGCAGAGCAGCCUCGCCUCCCCUCACCCCGCUCCACAGGGGGAGAGGGGCAAAACCUGCCAAAUCAACACAGCCCAGCUCCACCCAGCCAGCAGUUGCUACUAUGGGGCCCUCCUAGGACGGCUUCGGGGAUGAAAAAGAAUGGUUCUGAGUCACUUGGAAGAACAAAUAUGUGAAAGAAACCCUCAAAUUGUUGAAACUGAGAAGCUAUUUAAGUAUAUGAAAAAGCUAUCAUCAACAAAACAGUGUAAUAGAGAUACAAGAAAAAACAGGACCUAUCAAGGGAUUUUUGCUGAACAAAGGCAAUGUGAAUUCAAAUCUCUGCCUCAUGAGAGUCAGAAAACUGUUCACAGCUUUCAAACGGCAGUUUCUCCAGCUUUCCAAAUAUCUCCUGGCUAAGUUUCAGAAAGCCCUGCUAACUGUCCUUUCUCUACACCUCCUGCCUGUUCAAGGCAACACAGCACACUGGAGGCAGAAAGCAUCCCUCUCCCCUGACAAGGGGCUCAGCCCAGAUCCUGCCGGCCGUGCCUGUCC